GAAGGAUGAAGUUGUCUCUUCUAAUCUAUUGUCCACAAUACGAACUUGAUUAAAUUGCAUCCGGUUGAGCUUUGCGGAUCACGUGAAUGAGCCAAACGGAGUCUCGAAGGUCUCCCCCGAAAAUGGAAUAAUCUCAGUUGUUGGGAUCUCGAAGAAUCAUGGUAUCUCAAGGAGUCUGCGGAUAAUGCGAGUAGGAUAAGCGCUGAAUGUCGUCUAGAGUCCACUUGUAACCACGCUGGGCAUAUCAGUGAAGGACCAGGAGGAGUGAUAGUUUAUCCUCAAGAAUAUGACAGAGACAGCGAGCAGGGAGUGCUCUUCGGGUACGAGAGAGGAGAGUCAACAUUUUUUUUUUAUUAUUUCUUCAGCGACACCAGGGGGGUGCCCCUGGAUGUCAUCCAAUGAGGGUGAAGUAAAAAAAUAAUGAUAAAAGGCGGAGCCGGCGGUGUGAUUCGAUUGGUGGAGAUAUCGCGGGCGUUUGAGUCAACGGUUGGGAGAAGAAGAGGGGCAACACUCCACUCUCAGCGAUUCUCCUCCUCCUCUCGGCGCGCCUUUUCUCCAACCUCUCACUUCCCUCCUGCAUCGGUUUCAUCUCUGCAACCCCCUCACCACUUUUACCAUGUACCCCGACGGUGUGGUGACGGCGAACGGAGAGAAAAGUCGCAGAAAAAUUACUGGGCCAUGCGACACUGAGAAAUAAAUUAUUUUUUUCAAAUAUUCAUUAACUUCAGAAAAUUAUUGAAUUUUUUUGUUGUUUUUGGGAUUGGGUUAUUUGAAAGAAUAAUUCUGGGAAUAAUUGAAACUAUUGAAGUAGCUCUAGUGGCCCAAGUGCACAAAGUCGUCUUUAUUUCGGCACCAGAUAUUGGAGUUUGCAUUUCAAACUGUUUAUCAAAAAUUAAUUAAGGAUAGGAAUUGUCUCAAUAAUAUAAAAACGAUUUAACUAUUAACUUUAAUUCUUUAUUAUCGUAUGAUGUCUCCAGAUCAAUUGACUCCCAUUGACUAAAGAUUUGACACUCUAGACCCAUUUGACAAAAGGCCCUUGUUCAUUAAUUCCUUUCCGUUUCUUCUCUGGUUCUAUUUAUUAAAAUAACUAAUUUGCAUUUCUUUUAUUCUCGUGUUGCCACUUGAAAUUGAAAAACAUUUUUAUGGGUGAAAAUUGUGAGAAGUUUGAUAUUGAAAAUGGAUUAUUUAAAAUAAUAAUUCUGGAAAUGCUUGAAACUAUUUCUCUACUUUAUUAUUUAACUCAAAUAAUUGUGCUUGGAAGACACAUCCGCUCUGUGCCGAUUCCUUAGAGGAAUUAACUAGAUUUAAAAAGGGAAACAACACCCUGGACCUUUUAGUCACAUGCCCUCAAAGAGUCCUAUUCAUUCCACUUUGUCUACACACUUAAAAUCAAACCUAACGCUGUACUAUACUGACUUAUACCAAUAGACAAUCUGGAUUCAAAUAACGUAUAUGAUACUGAUGAAGGUAUUGCAAUUAAUUUGGACGCGCUGUGGUAGGACAUUCAUAUGAAACCCUACUAGCAUUCUGCGCUCGGCACUAAGGGCUCGCGACGGGGAUGCGGAUGAUACGAACCAGAACGUCCAAAAAAUCCAAAGUCCAAUAAAUGCAGAUGAGGGUUUUUCCUGCGUGGUCGCGCAGAUUGUCCGAAUCUCGGUUCCUAUUUAUGGAUUUAAAUCGACUUGAGGUUUCUCAUAUCGAGAUGCAAAUGUUGAUAUCAAGGGACAGGUGACCUCGAUGGGCACCUUAGCCCAUCCUUGAGGUUAAAUAACAUUUAUUUUGAUAAAAAAAUGAAUUUUAUUAUAAGAAUUUCAUUUGAACGAACUAUCAUUAGUUUGAAAAUUUUCAAAUGACAGUGAUUUUGCAAUAAACAGGUAUUUAGUCUCCGAGAUAGGUUUCAGUGAAAGAAAUAGAAUUUCUAAAGAAAUGAAGUUCCUUCCUCAUUUAUCGGAAUAAUAGUUAAGCCAUCAAAUCCAGUUGAAACCACUUUUAACUUGAACCGUGGCUAUUUAUUUAUAAUUAUCAAUGAAUUGGUUUUAGUGAAAUAUUAAAUGACUAAUUAAAUAAAAUCACCUUUUUAAAGAAUUCAAAUUUUCGGGAAUUUUUGAUCAACGUUUUAGUGUAGAGGAGUUUGUAAUCACGAGGUGAGACAGUUUCUAAUCACGAAAACAGGAGACUUUACCAUUCACGUAGACACUUGUGUGAUCGUCUCAACCAAUAGCUGAUCACUGAUAGUUAAGAUACUCUUAAUUUUAAGAAAUUCAGGGACCUGGUCAUCACUGCUCUAUUGAUGUAUAAUUUAUAUCAAUCAUGAUUGUCACUGUUGAUCAAUAUGAUCAUCAAGACAAGAGAAAAAAAUAUAAAUAUUCUAGUCGAAUAACACUGAUUAACAACUGGAUCUAUUGAGAAUGCAUGGUAUGUGUGGAAACAAUUAACUAGUUCUGGCUAGUCCUCUGAAAUUAAUUAGCUCUGGUUAGUCCUCUAAAAUUAAUUAGCUCUGGUUAGUCCAUGUCAGUAUUUUCUAGUUUUUCUCAGAACACCGUCGGAAUGUUUAUAAUAGUUUUAAUAAACAGAAACAGAGAAGGAAAAGAGAGAAAUGAGUGCACAAGGGCCUUUUGUUUAAUGGAUCCAGAGUGUGAAACCUUUUAUCACUAAGAUAUACCUUCUGCGUGUGAUAAUUAAUAAUUAAAGGUUACAACCAAAUCGUUUGAUAUCAUUUACUAAACCCCUGUUCAUAAUCCACUAGAAUCAGCUUACG